rnacentral:rRNA from 1 species
GAUGAACGCUGGCGGCGUGCUUAACACAUGCAAGUCGAACGAAGCAUUUAGAACAGAUUAUUUCGGUAUGAAGUUCUUUAUGACUGAGUGGCGGACGGGUGAGUAACGCGUGGGUAACCUGCCUUGUACUGGGGGAUAGCAGCUGGAAACGGCUGGUAAUACCGCAUAAGCGCACAAUGUUGCAUGACAUGGUGUGAAAAACUCCGGUGGUAUAAGAUGGACCCGCGUCUGAUUAGCUAGUUGGUGAGAUAACAGCCCACCAAGGCGACGAGCAGUAGCCGGCCUGAGAGGGUGACCGGCCACAUUGGGACUGAGACACGGCCCAGACUCCUACGGGAGGAAGCAGUGGGGAAUAUUGCACAAUGGAGGAAACUCUGAUGCAGCGACGCCGCGUGAGUGAAGAAGUAAUUCGUUAUGUAAAGCUCUAUCAGCAGGGAAGAUAGUGACGGUACCUGACUAAGAAGCUCCGGCUAAAUACGUGCCAGCAGCCGCCGUAA